rnacentral:lncRNA from 1 species
GUGAAAACAUUCUUCUGGAGCAAGAUUCUUCUCCAAACUCUGUCAGAGAGAAUGAGUUUCUUCCAGACUUGGAGCUGGAGGAUCAUUACCAUCUCCAGCUAUCGGAACAACAGCCAACCUGAGGAACUUUGAGAACAAGGACACAAGUCCUAGCUAUCCGCUGUCCAACUGGGAGACAGUCUUUCCACCUAUUAAUACACUUUCUGUGAGCCAAAUGUGACAUUAGACUGUCUCCCUGCGCACAACGGGGCUCCUUGAAAACGGAAUUCACAGCCCACUCAGCAGGUCCCCUCUGCUCUCUGCUUGGCAUCUUGCUGCUCCCCUUCUUCAGCCCCACCUAGUAACCACCUGUUCUCCCCUUCUUCUUCCUGUUCCCCAUCUUGAAAAGAUGCAAGGCAACCAAACAGAGCAAAGGUCUCCACAAACAAGGCCUAAGACCACAGACGGCCAGCCCUUCUCUAGCCCUGAUAAGCCAGCCCAGUCCUGAAUGCUAAGGUUCAUCGAUACUCACAUGCUGACGGAAAUCGUUUAGAUUCAGUUCUUUCACUUCACGGUUUAUUUUUAGUUCUCAUACAACUGAAGUCAUCAAAUUCAUUACGUGCGGACCUUCAAAUUCAUAUUUUAAAAGAAAAUCAGAUGGGAAAGGGGCUGUGAACUUCACUUAGUGCUAGGAGUUACAGUGAAAAGUAAUCUUUCAGCUGACCUCUGCAGGAUGAGGGAGAACUCACCGAGGUCAACCCAGUGAAUCUGAAGCACAGACAGUGAGGGCAAAAGGGGCACAAGACCCGGCCGAAGAAGCAGAGAGGAUUCUAGACCAGGCAGACUCUUCAAGGCCAG